rnacentral:lncRNA from 1 species
UGAUAUGACUUUACAUUAUUUUGAAAAUCUAAAUUAAAAACACAAAAUUGUAUUUAAAUAUUAACUUGUAAAUUCACUUAAUCACAUUACAUCAAAGAUAACCCAAAUCCGCCAAUAAUAAACUGUAAACCGAGAUUCAGCGCACAGAAUAUAUAGGAAACACUCAACUUCAUCGUACUUUUACUGACAUCAUCAUGCCGUGCUCCAUAAAUUGUUAUUGACAGGAAAGUACAAAAACCUGAAAGUAAGAUUGA